rnacentral:rRNA from 1 species
GACGGAGGGUGCAAGCGUUGCUCGGAAUCACUGGGCGUAAAGGGUGCGUAGGCGGCCUUGCAAGUCUGGCGUGAAAGCCCAGGGCUCAGCCCUGGAAGUGCGCUAGAAACUGCAAGGCUUGAGUGCCGGAGGGGAGAGUGGAAUUCCCGGUGUAGCGGUGAAAUGCGUAGAUAUCGGGAGGAAUACCGGUGGCGAAAGCGACUCUCUGGACGGCCACUGACGCUGAGGCACGAAAGCGUGGGGAGCAAACAGG